CGGUGGACUUAUGUAUCUUGC
rnacentral:siRNA from 1 species